GUCGAGGGGCAGCGGGUAGAUGAGCUUGCUCAUUUAUGCCGGCGACCGUUGCACGGGUGAGUAACACGUAUGCAACCUGUCCGUCUCAGGGGGAUAAUCGUCGGAAACGGCGUCUAAUACCCCGUAUGAAGCUGGACGGCAUCGUCUGGUUUUGAAAGAAUAUCGGAGACGGAUGGGCAUGCGGCGCAUUAGCUAGUUGGCGGGGUAACGGCCCACCAAGGCGACGAUGCGUAGGGGUUCUGAGAGGAAGGUCCCCCACACUGGUACUGAGACACGGACCAGACUCCUACGGGAGGCAGCAGUGAGGAAUAUUGGUCAAUGGGCGAGAGCCUGAACCAGCCAAGUCGCGUGAGGGAGUACUGCCCUAUGGGUUGUAAACCUCUUUUGUCGGGGAGCAAAAGCCGGACGUGUCCGUCUGUGAGAGUACCCGAAGAAAAAGCAUCGGCUAACUCCGUGCCAGCAGCCGCGGUAAUACGGAGGAUGCGAGCGUUAUCCGGAUUUAUUGGGUUUAAAGGGUGCGCAGGCGGAUUUUUAAGUCAGCGGUCAAAUCGUGGGGCUCAACCCCAUCCAGCCGUUGAAACUGGGGAUCUAGAGUGUGCGAGAGGUAUGCGGAAUGCGUGGUGUAGCGGUGAAAUGCAUAGAUAUCACGCAGAACCCCGAUUGCGAAGGCAGCAUACCGGUGCACAACUGACGCUCAGGCACGAAAGCGUGGGUAUCGAACAGGAUUAGAUACCCUGGUAGUCCACGCAGUAAACGAUGAAUGCUACCUGUUUGGCCAGAUUGAAGGCUGAGCGGGACAGCGAAAGCGUUAAGCAUUCC
rnacentral:rRNA from 1 species